UACGAAGGGUGCAAGCGUUAAUCGGAAUUACUGGGCGUAAAGCGUGCGCAGGCGGUUGUGCAAGACAGGUGUGAAAUCCCCGGGCUUAACCUGGGAACUGCAUUUGUGACUGCAUUGCUGGAGUGCGGCAGAGGGGGAUGGAAUUCCGCGUGUAGCAGUGAAAUGCGUAGAUAUGCGGAGGAACACCGAUGGCGAAGGCAAUCCCCUGGGCCUGCACUGACGCUCAUGCACGAAAGCGUGGGGAGCAAACAGG
rnacentral:rRNA from 1 species